rnacentral:rRNA from 1 species
CCUACGGGAGGCAGCAGUAGGGAAUAUUGCUCAAUGGGGGAAACCCUGAAGCAGCAACGCCGCGUGGAGGAUGAAGGUUUUCGGAUUGUAAACUCCUUUUGUUAGAGAAGAUAAUGACGGUAUCUAACGAAUAAGCACUGGCUAACUCCGUGCAAGCACCCGCGGUAAUACGGAGGGUGCAAGCGUUACUCGGAAGCACUGGGCGUAAAGAGGGCGUAGGCGGGAUAGCAAGUCAGAUGUGAAAUCCUAUGGCUUAACCAUAGAACUGCAUUUGAAACUGUUAAUCUAGAGUAUGGGAGAGGUAGGUGGAAUGCUUGGUGUAGGGGUAAAAUCCGUAGAGAUCAAGAAGAACACUCAUUGCGAAGGCGACCUGCUAGAACGUAACUGACGCUGAUGCGCGAAAGCGUGGGGAGCGAACAGGAUUAGAUACCCGAGUAGUC